UUUUAUGAGAGUUUGAUCCUGGCUCAGGACGAACGCUGGCGGCGUGCCUAAUACAUGCAAGUCGAACGCUUCUUUUUCCACCGGAGCUUGCUCCACCGGAAAAAGAAGAGUGGCGAACGGGUGAGUAACACGUGGGUAACCUGCCCAUCAGAAGGGGAUAACACUUGGAAACAGGUGCUAAUACCGUAUAACAAUCAAAACCGCAUGGUUUUGAUUUGAAAGGCGCUUUCGGGUGUCGCUGAUGGAUGGACCCGCGGUGCAUUAGCUAGUUGGUGAGGUA
rnacentral:rRNA from 1 species